GAGGCUGCCGCCUGGCAGGUGCUGCUUGACUGCAUUGCUCUCCACGAGCCUCUGGUUGAUGCUGGUCCGGAUCUCGUUCGAUGGCGCCUAGAGCCGUCGGGACAGUUCUCCACCAAGUCCCUCUAUCGGGCUAUCGCCCCCUCCUCCACCCCGCCUCCCCUCACGGCAGUUUGGCCUAUCCGGCUUCCCCUAAAGAUCCGGAUCUUCAUGUGGCAAUGGAUUCGCGCACGGAUUUCGUCCGGCGUGGAGGUCCGUAAGCGCAAUGGCCCCGGUAGCGGCCUUUGCCCGCUUUGUGGCGUCCCUGAAGACAUGAAUCACAUCUUUUUCUCUUGCGUGUCCGCCCAAUUUCUUUGGGGCUGUUUUCGUGAGGUGGUUGGGGGCAAUUGGUGCCACACCAAUUUCCCUAACAUGUUCGCAGAACUCCAGGCCUCCUCCCCGCAUUCUCGUCACAUUAGGUGGUUGGAGAUUGGGACCCUUGCUUGGACCCUCUGGACGAUCCACAAUCGACUUGUUAUUCAGCGCAUUCCGCUUCGACAUGCUACUGAUGCUCUCUUCAAACUGUCUGGAUACUUGCAGCUCUGGCAGCCACUUAGCAGCCCCCAGGAUCGGGACCCCAUCUCUGCCUUCAUCGCCGACCUCUGCUCGUUGGUCGUUGUCGCUCCCUCUGCCACCUCCUGA
rnacentral:rRNA from 1 species